AUAUUGGAAUACUUUGGGAUUUUUCACAAAAAGUCAGCAAAAUAAACCUAGCUUUAGGAAAUGGUUGUUACACUGAUGUUUAUUUUCUGGAAUUUGGAAAUUAACAAAUUUGCCCAUAUCUUGAUAUACUGUUUUUCAAAAUACAGGAUUCAUGGCACCAUGGCUUGAAAUUCAAGUGCAAAUUUGAAAGGAAGAAGUUUUUGAAUGAUGGGGAGGUGGCAGAAAUGCGCCAAAAAUAUGGAAAGCUUGGUCAUCCAUCAACGUCAUCAUCAUCUACAUCGGCAAAACGCCUCUGCAGUGAAGAACAUCUGAAAAGUAUUCAGUCCACUGAAGAUGAGCAGAGUGUGGAAAUGCACAUAAAAUCAAUGCAGCAAGAAAUGAAGGGUGCAACAAUAUCUCUGGAAAAACUCACAGACUCAAUGACCCGCACAUUUCAUGCUCGGCGGCAUUGGGUGAAAGAUUCAAGACCAUCAAUGUAUGAAUUGCUGCAACAGUAUCCGGCACUUGAAAGACCUGAGCUGGCAAGUUUCAGAUGCUUUGUGGAUCUCGCAGUAUCAAUACUCUUCUGCAUCUCUUAUUUCAGAUCUUUCACGACUUCAAAUUGCUUGGUGGGAAGCCACCAAUAGAAACUAUUGUGCAUGCAGCACAGAAGCAUGUUGACACAGUAGUAAACAUGAUGAGGGAAAAGAUGGAGCCGAUAACCUCACAGCUACUGGGAAUGGCCGAAGGAACCAGUGAGGAUGACAAAAAAUUGCUGACAACUCUUGCAUUCCUCACGGCUCUUCCCCGCACUGUGAAGGAAAAGUCGUCAUCAUUCCUCAAACAAACGGCACCGUGGUUCAGCGCACAUCCCUGUGUCAUUUUGGAUAAUGAUGAAUACUUGGGGCCAUGCAUGGUGCUUACAGAAAACCAGCUUUUGAAGGCAGAUAACCCCAUUCAAGCAAUCCUUAUGUGCUUCUGCCUUCACUGGGUACUAGAUAUUUGCUACGACUCUGCCUUUAAGGGGUUUUACUCUAUUCUAGAGAACGUGCUUGGACUGCACAGUGUGAAGCUGUCAGCGACAGCGAUUCAUGUGCUUUCUGCUUUAGAAUGACUUGUGAGAACAAAUAUUCAUAAUCAAAUUUUUGUUAA